rnacentral:lncRNA from 1 species
CCCCCUAAAAGCAACAGGAUCGCAUCCAGGUUACAGUAUUGAAAUUAGAAUCUACCACUAUUAUUACACAACAUCUCUUACCAAAUCAGAUCAUCUUCGAUAAGAAGAAUCACUGUCAACUAUUCCAGCUUGCACCAACCUCAUCAACUUUCCUGAACACUCCUCGACCACUGGAUCCUCAACUCUGUCUCCUCGCCUAGCAUUAGCCUUACUCACAAUCUCAAUCAAUCAUCUCAUCUUUAAGCCUUUCUGAAAUGGUUAGAAAGGAAUAGCAAGGGUGAGCAACAAUGCUCAGCAAGUAAUAAUAAACAAUGAUAGUUCUGAAAUGAUAUAAUAGAAGUUCACGAGUUCAAGAUAUAAGAGGAUUCAACCUGAGUUCAUGAGUUCAUGGUAUUGUAUAGAAUGAUUUACAAUACCUUGCAGCAUUUAAACUGAGAAAUUCAAUCUUUCCAAAGAAUUAUUGAAUUGGACUAUCACAUUUUAAUUAAAACCAAGGUUAGGCAGCUGAUCAGUUCCGCACUAACCCCGAGCAGGCCCCGCCAUGCUCUAUCACUGGAUCCAAGGCACUCAUUGGCCUAACAUGACCACGAAUCUGGUCCACAGGUUUAUAUAAAAACAAUAAUCCAAUUCUUUAAUUCAAUUCAAGAAGCCAAUGUAAAUUAACAGAACAUCAUCAUAAAUAUCAUCAACAACAGAAUAAUUCCAAUUCAAACUUUGAUAAUAAUCUAUUCAUAAAUCAUGAUCCAUCAUUUCAUAAAUCACAGUUCAGGAAAUCCUCAACUAUUCAGUAUCCUCCAUUAUCGGCUAAGCAACUGAAUUUAGCCUGCUAAACCAGCAUGACAAUGGCGGGUUGAAUAAUCAAGAAGAUCCCAAUUCAUUCAAAGCUCUAACUAUCACUGAGCAACACAUGCUUCAAUGACAAUCUGAACUUCGAAUUAAUUUGUAAAACGGAAAUUCUUUAGAAACUUGAAGAUUAGAAAGAAUGGGUCAGAAUACUCGCACUUUCGAACAUUGAAAAGAAAGGUAUGAAUACUUGAAACAUAUACCAAAGGAAUGGAUCAGAAUAUUUGCAAUAUAUCCAAGAGAAAGGUUUAGGAUACUUGCCUUAAAUCUGACUCCAGUCUCACAUCUCUAUCUCAUCUUUCCACUUUCACAAUCUAUGCAUAUCAUAGUCUCUAGACCAUCUCUGGCUAUACUCUAUUCGCCACAUCGCUUCGUUUACUCGAUUCAUCCCUUAUUCGCUUUGCAAUACCAUUCCGACUUUCUGACGUCUUCGAGCGUACACGUCUCCUCCAAAUCCUUUACGAGAAUAAGAUAAUACUAUAGUCACUAAACAAUAUAUCGCAUAUACAUAUCACGUAUAUCGAUACCCACUUAUAUACCCCUUUAAACUUAUCACAUAUCACUUAACACGUAAUCAUGCUUUGACUCUACCAUAUAGUCAAGUCAUAUUCCACAUAACAUAUUACCAAUCACUUAUCAUAUGAAUCCUAUCGAAAAUCCGACAUCGUCUCGUCUAUUUAUUAGACUAUCCACCUGUUAUCCUAUCUCAAUCAAUAAUCAACCCACAAGAUCCAAUUACUAUAAUCCAUAUAUUCUUAUCCAAUAUCAAUCAACUCACGACACUAUGUCAUCCAAAUCUUUUAUCACACGUGUAUACUAUCAUGAAUAAACAUGUAUAUCACGUAAUCAUCAAUUAAUAGCAAUCAAAUAACAUAUAAUCACAUUGUGCACAUUUAACAACAAUUAUUCACAUUCUCGACUCCAUCAUAUUAUUAUGUCACAUUAAAAUAGACUUUAUAAGCUUUAAUCCCUUUUUCGUUUCACUCCAUUCUGAAUUACGAGUCAAAAGUUAUGAACAAAACUGUUUUCUUACUCUCUAUCGGCACAUAACACAUCAAAUAGAUAGUAAUCUUCAUAUAGCACAUAAGGUUUCCCACCCCAAUUGAUAUCAAAUCAACUCUUGGGUUAAAAAUGAUUUUUCGGGAAUUUUCUGGAAUUUUUAAACAUUUUUAGGAAUUAAAAUCGAUAAAAGAAUCACUUUUCGAAUAAAUAAUCAAGUCCCAAAUACUUGAAAUUGGACUUGAAAUCAUUCAUAACCAAUUAUCGAGCCUUGAAUAUAAUUUGGAAAAAUAUUUUAAAGCUCGAAACUAUUUUCGGAAUUUUUAAAUCAAAAAGGAUAAUUAAAUCCAAUUAAUUAAUCAAUUAAAAUCAAUUAAUAAUUAAUUAAAUUGAUUAAUCAAUUAAUAUUUGAAUUAAUUGACCAAUUAAAAUAAUUAAUUACUAAUUAAAAGUAAUUAAUAAACUAAUUUAGAUUUAUUUUUGAAUAAACAAUUAAUUAAAAACAAUUUUCGGAAUUAAAAUAAAUAAUUAAAAACAAUUUUAGAAUUUAAAAUAAUUAAAUAUAUACGAUUUAAAACAUUUUAAAACCUCAAGGUUUAAAACAUAAGUUUUUGAAACUUCAAGGGGAACCAAUUUGCAAAUACCAAAAGUCCAGGGACUAAAGUCCACCAUCUCCGAAAGCUGGGGGGCCAAGCGGCAAUUUGCCACCGGCGCCGCCCCUGGCCGCCGGAGACGGCGUUUCGGUGCCCAGAACUGAACGAAAAGGUGCAGAUCCGCUCUACUCCCUCUCAGGAAUCCACUCGUGCAAUCGGUUUUAUCAAAGGAUCGGCCGUUUGGCCGGAAAAACUUAAACAAAAACCGCCGACGGCGGUUGUUUUCCAGAACCCGGCGAGCUUAUCUCGCCUCCGUUGUCCAAUCUGACCACAUACACGAAUUCCUUACUCCACGAUCUAUCUGUGGACAUGAUUUACACGUACCCAGGUCUAUUCCAUCAAUAUUCCGGCCAAAACAUUCAAAACACACUAAGAACACCAAGAACACGUAUCUAAGAAUUAAACCGGCUUUUCUACAUGUUAUUGAACUCCGUUUCUGACAUAUAAUAUACCAAAACGACGAGAAAAACACGCUCUACAACAUAGAAGCAUCAAAACAAUCAAACAAGAUCGUUUACAAAAAUUCAUCUUUAAAAAUAUAAUAAUUCGAAUUUUAAAACUUCAAUUACUCCCUACCUGUGAAUCUCAGGUUGUUUUUGAUGAUUGAUUAGAGUUCUACUCUUCGAUAUCUUCGAUUUGACUAUUUGCACGCUUGAUUCUGACUCCAAUAACACCUUCAAAUCCUCGUUUGAUUAUGAAGAACACGAAGAACACCGCUCGGUUUCUCUCGGUAUUCGUGCAGAGAAACUGGUGGAAUGAUUUUACGGGUGAAAAUCAGCUCUAGAAAGGUCUAUUUAUAUUUACAAAUAAUUGGUACCCCUUUGGAUCGUUUAUGACAUGAAAAUACGUAUUUAAUAGCUUUAUAUAAUAAAACGGGGUCCAAUCGGUACUGGUUUUCAAGAUAAUCAUCAAAACGGGGCUUUUUAAAUCAGUCAUUAGUAUGCGGGUCCCACUGCAAUUAUUACAAGAUAAGGAUGAAUCAAAAUAUCUAGUUUCACGUUUAUCGAGACAAACUGGAUAAUUAUCAACAAUUCAAAUACCCGCAAAACUCCGCCGGACCGACUCCGGGAAAAACCGUACUCCGGAUCGAAAAAGUCAAAACACGAAAAAUGUCCGGAAUAUUCAAAUUAGG